rnacentral:rRNA from 1 species
AACUACGGCAUGCCGCCCUGAAUGUGCCCAAUCUCGUCUGAUCUCGGAAGCUAAGCAGGGUCGGGCCUGGUUAGUACUUGGAUGGGAGACCACCCAGGAAGACCAGGUGCUGUAGGCG